CACGUAGGGCGCAAGCGUUGUCCGGAAUUAUUGGGCGUAAAGAGCUCGUAGGCGGCCUGUUACGUCUGCUGUGAAAACCCUGGGCUUAACCCUGGGCUUGCAGUGGAUACGGGCAGACUAGAGGCAGGUAGGGGAGAAUGGAAUUCCCGGUGUAGCGGUGAAAUGCGCAGAUAUCGGGAGGAACACCGGUGGCGAAGGCGGUUCUCUGGGCCUGACCUGACGCUGAGGAGCGAAAGCGUGGGGAGCGAACAGG
rnacentral:rRNA from 1 species